AAAUAUAUUUGAUAUGAAUGACUAUUUUCCUUACAUGACUUAAUAAAAUGUAUAUGUAAUUAAUUUUCAGCCAUAAAAUUUUACCUACGAGUACAAGAUAUGAAGCGCAUAGUAAAUGUACAUCAUAUUGUCACACGAAAGCAAAAAGUGAGGCGAGAGUUAGAGAGAGAGAGGGGCCAGGGGAGAAGAACCAAAAAAAUAAAUGGAAAAAGGGUUUUCUCAAAUUAUUGUUAAAGAUUUGAGUGAUGAAUAUAUUUCCUUGUGAGGACCCCACCUUGUUUUCUGCUCAUUCACUGAAUCCAACCCUUCUCCCCACCCCCAAACUGUAAUCUACCAACAGUGACCCAUAUACAUACAUAUGUAUAGGUGUGUAUAAAGAAGGAAACAAAUCACAAACACACUUCUCUAAAAUCAAUUUCAAAGUCUCCUUCUCAUCUCACCUAAAAUGGCAACGCAGUGACAUACUAUUACUGCACAAUACAUAUACGCAUCACACAUCACAUUUUUCAACCAAAUUGUUUCUGCUUCUCUCUCUCAAUCAAUUGCUCCCCCUGUUUAAACACCACCCACAUUCCGCAACUUCAUCUUUCACUAUUCUCUAUUCCUCUCUCAAAUUACUGCUUUCGAGUUUUCACUACAAAUCUAAACAUAUUGAGCCUGAAAUGCAAAAUCCUAAUCUGCGCACUCAUCAUUACAAGCAUUUUGGUUGGGCUUCCGGCGACGACGUCUUAUGGUUCUACAAUUGAAGAUCAACAGUUGAAGAUCACAUUUUUAAGAGAGAGAGUUAGAUAUAUAUAUAUUUAUAGAGAGAGAGAGAGAGUGAGGAUUUUAAAUGAGUGCGGCGGAGCAACGGCGAUCGAGAUUGGGAAUGUGGGGAGAGGUAAUGAAUGUGGAAGAUGAUUACUCAAGGAAGAUGAUGACGAUGAGGGGCAAGAAUGGAAUUUCACAGCAGCAGCAGCAGCAGAGGAAGAGCUUCUCGCAGUCGCAGCAGGGGCAAGGAGGUAAAAUGCGGCGGUAUUUCACGUUGGAGUCGGUGGUGCUGCUGGCUUGCCUGACGGUGUCGCUGCUGAUUCUGCCGCUGGUGCUGCCGCCGCUGCCGCCGCCGCCGCUUCUGCUGCUGCUGCUGCCGAUCCUCAUCCUCGGCCUCCUCAUGUUGUUGGCUUUCAUGCCCUCUGACGCCCGCAACGCCACCUAUACAUAUGUGUAAAUUGCACCACUUUUUUUGUAAUUUUAAUUGUAAUGUGACAUGACAACACUUCUUUCAUUAUUUCGUAAAAUUCACCUAAUUUGCUUA